rnacentral:misc_RNA from 1 species
UCUUGAUAUUCACAAUGUCUACCGAAGAUCAUCAAAUGUAAGGCAGCUGUUGCCUGGGAGGCAGGAAAGGAUCUCU